rnacentral:rRNA from 1 species
AUUGAACGCUGGCGGCAGGCCUAACACAUGCAAGUCGAACGAGUGGCGGACGGGUGAGUAAUUUCUGGGAACCUGCCUGAUGGAGGGGGAUACCUACUGGAAACGUUAGCUAAUACCGCAUACCAUCAGCUGUGCCCAGAUGGGAUUAGCUAGUUGGUGGGGUAACGGCUCACCAAGGCGACGAUCCAUAGCUGGGCUGAGAGGAUGACCGUCCACACUGGAACUGAGACACUGUCCAGAAUCCUAGGCGGGGCAGUAGUGGGGAAUAUUGAACAAUGGGAGCAAGCCUGAUGCAGCCAUGCCGCGUGUAUGAAGAAGGCCUGCGGGUUGUAAAGUACGUUCAGCGGGGAGGCGGGACCCGCAGAAGAAGCACCGGCUAACUCCGUGCCAGCAGCGCGGUAAUAC